rnacentral:rRNA from 1 species
CCUACGGGAGGCAGCAGUGGGGAAUAUUGGACAAUGGGCGAAAGCCUGAUCCAGCAAUACCGCGUGUGUGAAGAAGGCCUGAGGGUUGUAAAGCACUUUCAAUUGGGAGGAAUACCUGCUGAGAUAAUAUCAGGCAGAUUGACAUUACCUUUAGAAGAAGCACCGGCUAACUCCGUGCCAGCAGCCGCGGUAAUACGGAGGGUGCAAGCGUUAAUCGGAAUUACUGGGCGUAAAGCGUACGUAGGCGGUUAGUUAAGUUAGAUGUGAAAGCCCCGGGCUUAACCUGGGAACUGCAUUUAAAACUGGCUAACUAGAGUUAAGUAGAGGGGAGUGGAAUUUCAGGUGUAGCGGUGAAAUGCGUAGAGAUCUGAAGGAACACC